rnacentral:rRNA from 1 species
CGGAACGGGUGAGUAAUACAUCGGAACGUGCCCGAUCGUGGGGGAUAACGAAGCGAAAGCUUUGCUAAUACCGCAUACGAUCUACGGAUGAAAGCAGGGGACCGCAAGGCCUUGCGCGAACGGAGCGGCCGAUGGCAGAUUAGGUAGUUGGUGGGAUAAAAGCUUACCAAGCCGACGAUCUGUAGCUGGUCUGAGAGGACGACCAGCCACACUGGGACUGAGACACGGCCCAG